rnacentral:rRNA from 1 species
AGAGUUUGAUCCUGGCUCAGAACGAACGCUGGCGGCGUGGAUAAGACAUGCAAGUCGAACGAGAGAAUUGCUAGCUUGCUAAUAAUUCUCUAGUGGCGCACGGGUGAGUAACACGUGAGUAACCUGCCCCCGAGAGCGGGAUAGCCCUGGGAAACUGGGAUUAAUACCGCAUAGUAUCGAAAGAUUAAAGCAGCAAUGCGCUUGGGGAUGGGCUCGCGGCCUAUUAGUUAGUUGGUGAGGUAACGGCUCACCAAGGCGAUGACGGGUAGCCGGUCUGAGAGGAUGUCCGGCCACACUGGAACUGAGACACGGUCCAGACACCUACGGGUGGCAGCAGUCGAGAAUCAUUCACAAUGGGGGAAACCCUGAUGGUGCGACGCCGCGUGGGGGAAUGAAGGUCUUCGGAUUGUAAACCCCUGUCAUGUGGGAGCAAAUUAAAAAGAUAGUACCACAAGAGGAAGAGACGGCUAACUCUGUGCCAGCAGCCGCGGUAAUACAGAGGUCUCAAGCGUUGUUCGGAAUCACUGGGCGUAAAGCGUGCGUAGGCUGUUUCGUAAGUCGUGUGUGAAAGGCGCGGGCUCAACCCGCGGACGGCACAUGAUACUGCGAGACUAGAGUAAUGGAGGGGGAACCGGAAUUCUCGGUGUAGCAGUGAAAUGCGUAGAUAUCGAGAGGAACACUCGUGGCGAAGGCGGGUUCCUGGACAUUAACUGACGCUGAGGCACGAAGGCCAGGGGAGCGAAAGGGAUUAGAUACCCCUGUAGUCCUGGCAGUAAACGGGGCACGCUUGGUGUGCGGGGAAUCGACCCCCUGCGUGCCGGAGCUAACGCGUUAAGCGUGCCGCCUGGGGAGUACGGUCGCAAGAUUAAAACUCAAAGAAAUUGACGGGGACCCGCACAAGCGGUGGAGUAUGUGGCUUAAUUCGAUGCAACGCGAAGAACCUUACCUGGGCUUGACAUGUAAUGAACAACAUGUGAAAGCAUGCGACUCUUCGGAGGCGUUACACAGGUGCUGCAUGGCCGUCGUCAGCUCGUGUCGUGAGAUGUUUGGUUAAGUCCAGCAACGAGCGCAACCCCUGUUGCCAGUUACCAGCACGUGAAGGUGGGGACUCUGGCGAGACUGCCCAGAUCAACUGGGAGGAAGGUGGGGACGACGUCAGGUCAGUAUGGCCCUUAUGCCCAGGGCUGCACACGUACUACAAUGCCCAGUACAGAGGGGGCCGAAGCCGCGAGGCGGAGGAAAUCCUAAAAACUGGGCCCAGUUCGGACUGUAGGCUGCAACCCGCCUACACGAAGCCGGAAUCGCUAGUAAUGGCGCAUCAGCUACGGCGCCGUGAAUACGUUCCCGGGUCUUGUACUCACCGCCCGUCA